CCUACGGGAGGCAGCAGUGAGGAAUAUUGGUCAAUGGACGAGAGUCUGAACCAGCCAAGUAGCGUGAAGGAUGACUGCCCUAUGGGUUGUAAACUUCUUUUAUAAAGGAAUAAAACGAGGCACGUGUGCCUGUUUGCAUGUACUUUAUGAAUAAGGAUCGGCUAACUCCGUGCCAGCAGCCGCGGUAAUACGGAGGAUCCGAGCGUUAUCCGGAUUUAUUGGGUUUAAAGGGAGCGUAGAUGGGUUGUUAAGUCAGUUGUGAAAGUUUGCGGCUCAACCGUAAAAUUGCAAUUGAUACUGGCAGUCUUGAGUACAGUUGAGGUAGGCGGAAUUCGUGGUGUAGCGGUGAAAUGCUUAGAGAUCACGAAGAACCCCGAUUGCGAAGGCAGCUUACUAAACUGUGACUGACAUUGAUGCUCGAAAGUGUGGGUAUCAAACAGGAUUAGAUACCCUAGUAGUC
rnacentral:rRNA from 1 species